ensembl:lncRNA
CAGAGGAGAUGCAGAGGGGGCCGCAUGAACAUGGUAGGCUCAGAACUGGAGUUGGUUCCUGUUCAUGGCAUUUUGCUUCUCAGCUCAACGAGAUUAUUUCUUGUUGAGGGUUUUUACUCAGCUUAACUUAAAAAAAAAGUUUCUUCUUAAGCCCGAGAGGGAAGAGAGAAGGCAGAGGAAGAAAGUCAAACGGCAGGCCUGCUUGUCCAGACUGGGUGGGAGAGUCGUGAGAUCCUGGACCAGACCGCUCAGCUUAUCCGUCUGAAACAGAAUUACCUCCUACCAUGGAGGCUGGAAUGCAGAAGAUGCCACAUGGUAUGUCAGAGGAAGAGCUGAGUCUGGAAGCCAGACCCACUGACUCCACCGUAUUAUGGUUGAUUUCCCACCAGAUCAGGUGGCUACCAGCUCUGCGCGGAUUCUUUACUGCUGAGCCACCGGGGAAGACCUCAGACAGAGAUGCGGCCUUCCUCAAAAGUAUCCUCAGCAACAAUGGAAUCCAUGGAAGCUUUAGCUGCAAGAGAGGCUGUAAAUACAAGUUCCUGGCCUUUUCAGUUUCUGCGGUUCUAUGGGGGAACCAAGGGUCCUGGCAGCACUGAUUUCCCAAUUUCCUGUACCACAGACCCCUUCUCAUUUGGACUGUUCCACAGAAUUCUGGCAACACACAAAAUCCUGAGCUGCUUGGUUUUUCUGAAACCUGUCUGGGCUGAUGAAGAAUAGAGGCAGCCCUCUACCACGCUCCACUGGGAAGAAAAGAAAAACAAAUAUUUCACAAGGUCACUAGCUCACAGAAGGAACAUUGUCUUCACUGUCCACCAAAUACUCCUCUUCCAUUGUCACCUUGAAAGUGAAAGGGAACUCGCUCAGUCGUGUCUGACUCUUUGUGACCCUGUGGACUGUAACCUACCAGGCUCCUCUGUCCAUGGAAUUCUCCAGGUCCUGACACUUACAAGCCGCCUGGAAAGGUCUUCAGAAUACGGAAUUAAGUGAAUAAAUACACCAGGGGAAAUACAACGUUCUGUCUUCUUCUCAAGUACCAGACAAGGUAAAUCAGAAAGAUUUUGUGUUGAAAUCGGUAAUAUCAAUUUAGAGAUGUUCAGAUUAAAUUCAGAUUCAGAUUCAGUUAACUAGUUUUUUCACUCUUUUAAUUUUUUUUCAAAAGUAGACCUUGCAAUCAUUCAAAUAGUGAGAGCAAGCAUGUUUCAUGCUCAUGUGUUUGGGGUCUUAAUUCAUGGAGGUAGUCUCAUAAACCACUUGUCAGUACUGCUUUUUUAAGUGUAAUUUACUUAAACAUGGUUUGUAUAUAGGUUUAAACAUUAUAAAUACUGCUUCCCUCCACUCACUGGCUGACAGCUCGACAUUGGGGGUAUUGUAGUAGAAAGUCUCAUGUAUUUUUCAGUUUUAGCAAGUUGAGCACAAUCACUUGUAUAUAAUAGGUGUUUAAUAUUUGUUAGUUGAACAGAACAGGUAAACACAGGGGACCCAGCGUGUUUGGAGCUUCAC